UGAUCCUUGCCAGACUCGAGUGGUUCCUAGAACGCUGCAGAGUAUAUCAAGACGCCAUGGCCGGUUUUCGUCGUCUUCAAAAUACUCAAUAUGAA
rnacentral:lncRNA from 1 species